ACCAUCUAGCGACCUCCACUCACCCCUGACCAUCUAGCGACCUCCACGUGAAAGGGGAGUAGCCCAAAGCGGGUAGCAUAACGAGUUAGUGGAAGCGUCUGGAAAGUCGCACGAUAGAGGGUGAAAGUCCCGUACACGAAGGUUUGUUGUGUGGAAGCUUGAAGAGUAGGGCGGGACACGUGAUAUCCUGUCUGAANANGGGGGGACCANNCUCCAAGNCUAAAUACUCNUNANUGACCGAUAGUGAACCAGUACCGUGAGGGAAAGGCGAAAAGAACCCCGGGAGGGGAGUGAAAUAGACCCUGAAACCGUGUACGUACAAUCAGUGGGAGCAUGUACCGUUGGGUAUGUGUGACUGCGUACCUUUUGUAUAAUGGGUCAGCGACUUAUAUUCUGUAGCAAGGUUAACCGAAAAGGGGAGCCGAAGGGAAACCGAGUAUUAACUGUGCGUUAAGUUGCAGGGUAUAGACCCGAAACCCGGUGAUCUAGCCAUGGGCAGGUUGAAGGUUGGUUAACACUAACUGGAGGACCGAACCGACUAAUGUUGAAAAAUUAGCGGAUGACCUGUGGCUGGGGGUGAAAGGCCAAUCAAACCGGGAGAUAGCUGGUUCUCCCCGAAAGCUAUUUAGGUAGCGCCUCAUGAGUAACUGUUGGGGGUAGAGCACUGUUUCGGCUAGGGGGCCAUCCCGGCUUACCAACCCGAUGCAAACUCCGAAUACUGACAAGUUUAAUCAUGGGAGACACACGGCGGGUGCUAACGUUCGUCGUGAAGAGGGAAACAACCCAGACCGCCAGCUAAGGUCCCAAAGUCAUAGUUAAGUGGGAAACGAAGUGGGAAGGCUUAGACAGCUAGGAUGUUGGCUUAGAAGCAGCCAUCAUUUAAAGAAAGCGUAAUAGCUCACUAGUCGAGUCGGCCUGCGCGGAAGAUGUAACGGGGCUAAAACUAUGCACCGAAGCUGCGGCAGUNCANGNAAGUGUAUUGGGUAGGGGAGCGUUCUGUAAGCCGNNGAAGGUGUNUUGNGANGNAUGCUGGAGGUAUCAGAAGUGCGAAUGCUGACNUNAGUAACGANAAAGCGGGUGAAAAGCCCGCUCGCCGGAAGACCAAGGGUUCCUGUCCAACGUUAAUCGGGGCAGGGUGAGUCGACCCCUAAGGAGAGGCCGAAGGGCGUAUCUGAUGGGAAACGGGUUAAUAUUNCCNUACUAGNGANNUCNACUGCGAUGGGGGGACGAAGAAGGCUAGGUUUACCACCUAUUGGAUGGUGGGUUAAGCGUGUAGGUGUGUGAUUAGGCAAAUCCGGUCACUGAGACACUGAGGCGUGAUGACGAGCUGCUAAGGCAGUGAAGUAAUUGAUGCCAAGCUUCCAGGAAAAGCCUCUAAGCUAUAGGUCAUAUGUAAUCGUACCCGAAACCGACACAGGUGGUCAGGUAGAGAAUACUCAGGCGCUUGAGAGAACUCGGGUGAAGGAACUAGGCAAAAUGGUGCCGUAACUUCGGGAGAAGGCACGCUGAUGUUAAUUGAAGUCCCACGCGGAUGGAGGUGAAAUCAGUCGAAGAUACCAGCUGGCUGCAACUGUUUAAUAAAAACACAGCACUGUGCAAACACGAAAGUGGACGUAUACGGUGUGACGCCUGCCCGGUGCGUGGANGUCGNUAGAUNGUNAGGGGUGCAAGCCCUGGAUCGAAGCCCCAGUAAACGGCGGCCGUAACGAUAACGGUCCUAAGGUAGCGAAAUUCCUUGUCGGGUAAGUUCCGACCUGCACGAAUGGCGUAACGAUGGCCACACUGUCUCCUCCUGAGACUCAGCGAAGUUGAAAUGUUUGUGAAGAUGCAAUCUCCCCGCUGCUAGACGGAAAGACCCCGUGAACCUUUACUGUAGCUUUGCAUUGGAUUUUGAACAGACUUGUGUAGGAUAGGUGGGAGGCUUAGAAGCUGGCACGCUAGUGCCGGUGGAGCCGUCCUUGAAAUACCACCCUAGUGUGUUUGGAAUUCUAACCUUGGUCCGUGAAUCCGGAUUGGGGACAGUGCAUGGUAGGCAGUUUGACUGGGGCGGUCUCCUCCCAAAGAGUAACGGAGGAGUUCGAAGGUUGCCUGGGGUGGAGGUCGCUAGAUGGUCAGGGUGGAGGUCGCUAGAUGGUC
rnacentral:rRNA from 1 species